ensembl:lncRNA GUSBP1 GUSB pseudogene 1
UGCAGUUUGGGCUGUCUCUGUGGCUGGUUCUGCGGCGUGCGGCCAGCCAUGGAGCGCUCUGGGCCCAGCGAAGUGACAGGCUCAGACGCAUCGGGACCGGACCCGCAGCUUGCGGUCACCAUGGGCUUCACGGGGUUCGGUAAAAAAGCUCGCACAUUUGACUUGGAAGCAAUGUUUGAACAAACUCGAAGAACAGCUGUGGAAAGAAGUUGCAAAACACUGGGCCACCAGGAACACACCUGUAGCCCAGCAAAGUUGAGGCCAUCAACUGGCUCAUCACAACAAGGAAGGCUGUGCACCACUGGGACCCAGCAGCAGCUCAGCAGCAGCAGUGAAAGGGCCUUGGGAAAGACUCGGAGGGUUUGGCUUAUACAAGGUGAUCUUAGGGAGGGUCAAGGAAACAGGCUGUGAUGGUUAAUAUUGAGUGUCAACUUGAUUGGAUUGAAGGAUGCAAAGGAUUGUUACUGGGUGUAUAUGUGAGAGUGUGGCCAAAGGAGAUUAACAUUUUAAUCAGUGGACUGGGAGAGGCACACCCACCCUCAAUCUGGGUGGGCAUCAUCUAAUCAGCUGCCACAGCAGCUAAAAUAAAGCAGGCAGAAGUUGGAAUGAGCAGACUUGCUGAGUGUUCCAGCCUUCAUCUUUCUCCCAUGCUGGAUGCUUCCUGCCCUCGAAUGUCAGACUCCAAGUUCUUCAGCUUUUUUUUUUUUUUUUUUUUUUUUUGGACUCUUGGACUUACACCAUUGGUUUGCCAGGGGCUCCCAGGCCUCUAGCCGCAGACUGAAGGCUGCACUGUGAGCCUCCCUACCUUUGAAGUUUGGGACUCAGACUGGCUUCUUGGCUCCUCAGCUUGCAGUCGGCCUAUUGUGAGACUUCCCCUUGUGAUCAUGUGAGCCAAUUCUCCUGAUAAACUCACCUUCAUAUAUACAUCUA